AUUAAGAAGGACACAGCAUGCAAAAAACUGUUCCAGGUGCCUUUUACAGUAUUCCAGGGAAUUCAAAGUUUUUCCAUUAAGACAAUUUUGUAAAGACAUAAAUAAAUGGAAAUCCGAAGGUGCAAUGUCUGGUGAAUAUGGUGGAUGAAUCAGAACUUCCCAGCCAAGCCGUAACAGUUUUUGC